UACGAAGUGGGCUAGCGUUGUUCGGAAUCACUGGGCGUAAAGGGCGCGUAGGCGGCUUUGUAAGUCGGGGGUGAAAGCCUGUGGCUCAACCACAGAAUUGCCUUCGAUACUGCAUGGCUUGAGACCGGAAGAGGUAAGUGGAACUGCGAGUGUAGAGGUGAAAUUCGUAGAUAUUCGCAAGAACACCAGUGGCGAAGGCGGCUUACUGGUCCGGUUCUGACGCUGAGGCGCGAAAGCGUGGGGAGCAAACAGG
rnacentral:rRNA from 1 species